CCUACGGGUGGCAGCAGUGAGGAAUAUUGGUCAAUGGGCGCGAGCCUGAACCAGCCAAGUAGCGUGAAGGAUGACUGCCCUACGGGUUGUAAACUUCUUUUAUAAAGGAAUAAAGUGAGGCAUGGGUGCCUUUUUGUAUGUACUUUAUGAAUAAGGCUCGGCUAACUCCGUGCGAGCAGCCGCGGUAAUACGGAGGAUCCGAGCGUUAUCCGGAUUUAUUGGGUUUAAAGGGAGCGUAGAUGGGUUGUUGAGUCAGUUGUGAAAGUUUGCGGCUCAACCGGAAAAUUGCAAUUGAUACUGGCAGCCUUGAGUGCGGUUGAGGUGAGCGGAAUUCGUGGUGUAGCGGUGAAAUGCUUAGAUAUCACGAAGAACUCCGAUGGCGAAGGCAGCUUACUAAGCUGCCACUGACAUUGAUGCUCGAAAGUGUGGGUAUCAAACAGGAUUAGAUACCCUAGUAGUC
rnacentral:rRNA from 1 species